GCUGGAGUGGCGCAACGGUAGCGCACCUGUCUUGUAAACAGGUGGUUGCGGGUUCGAUUCCCGUCUCCAGCUCGA
rnacentral:tRNA from 6 species